GUGGAUUAGAUACCCUGGUAGUCCACGCCGUAAACGAUGGAUACUAGCUGUUGGGGGCAACUUCAGUGGCUAAGCGAAAGUGAUAAGUAUCCCACCUGGGGAGUACGUUCGCAAGAAUGAAACUCAAAGGAAUUGACGGGGGCCCGCACAAGCGGUGGAGCAUGUGGUUUAAUUCGAUGAUACGCGAGGAACCUUACCAAGGCUUAAAUGUAGACUGACCGUUUUGGAAACAGAACUUUCGCAAGACAGUUUACAAGGUGCUGCAUGGCUGUCGCCAGCU
rnacentral:rRNA from 1 species